GACAGAGGGUGCAAACGUUGUUCGGAAUUACUGGGCGUAAAGCGCGUGUAGGCUGCUUCGAAAGUCGGAUGUGAAAGCCCUGGGCUCAACCUAGGAAGUGCAUUCGAAACUUCGAAGCUGGAGUCCUGGAGAGGAAGGCGGAAUUCUCGGUGUAGAGGUGAAAUUCGUAGAUAUCGAGAGGAACACCGGUGGCGAAGGCGGCGUUCUGGACUGCAACUGACACUGAAAAACGAAAGCCAGGGGAGCAAACGGG
rnacentral:rRNA from 1 species